UACGUAGGCAGCAAGCGUUGUUCGGAAUUACUGGGCGUAAAGAGUGUGUAGGUGGUGUCGUAAGUUUGGUGUGAAAUCUCCCGGCUUAACUGGGAGGGUGCGCCGAAGACUGCGAUGCUGGAGUAUGGGAGAGGAGAGUGGAAUUCCUGGUGUAGCGGUGGAAUGCGCAGAUAUCAGGAAGAACACCCGUGGCGAAGGCGGCUCUCUGGAACGCAACUGACGCUGAGACGCGAAAGCGUGGGGAGCAAACAGG
rnacentral:rRNA from 1 species